GCAAGACUUGUAAAAAUUAUUAGGUAGUCUGAAGCUUCUCAAAUUACUUCGCAAAACUACUUUAGCCUAAAUAGCAAAAACAUUAAGCAAAGACAACCCCACCACUUGUACCAUUUGGAGAUAAGUUUAAUUAUCGGAAAGUCAAGGUAUGAAAACAAAGGUUCGUCUGGAUUAAUUGCAAGAAUUUAUAAUGCAAGAAAAUAUUAUUAGUAGCCUCGCAGGAAUGGAUAUGUCUGACCCUGUCGAAAAUCCGGUCUUGGAAAAGGCGCUAAUGAACCCUUUGAUUUUGGAGAAAUAUUCGCCUGCCUAGAUUUUACUACUUUGAAGACGAUGCGAUCAGUCUGCACCAUUUGGGGCGAUGUGGGCGCCCCCUUUCUCGGUCGGAGAGGCCACCUAACCUUUCCCCACGUUAAUAGGAUGACCGUCUUCAACCCCAAACUGGUAAGGAAGAUAUCCUUACGUUUGGAUUCAAAGUGUGCUUGCCUGCAGAAUUGUACUUGCGAAUCCAAAACCGACCUCAUACCAGGGCUCUGUUAUACCCGAAAUUUCAAACUUUUUGACUGAACUCCAUCUCUGAGCAGGGGGUAACGACGUCCUCAGCCAGGAAGAAUCAUGGACGAGGUUCACCAUGCGGAACCGAUGGUCCAUCUUGGUUAAGGGCUGGGAGGACGAGGUCGCACUUGUGGCGCCAAAAUUUCUACCCCUCCCAAAUCUACGUCGUCUUGACAUUAACCAUUGUAAUGCAAAUGGUGGGAAUUAUCCAUCCGUUGAACUAGCCAUACAUUCUACAAGGGCUGUUUAAUGCUGCCCCUAAAGUUGAGGAGCUCAAUAUUAGCAUAGUAGGUGAACUUCCUGAGUGGGAUUUGUCUGCGACAAAGGUGAAGGUCUUGAAGUUUGGCGUGUUUAUCAAAUCCAAAGAAUCCUCUAAUCUUUCUCCUCUUGCGGUUUCUAAAAUGCUAGAAAAAUUUACAAAUGCUUUAGAAAAGCUUGAAUUUGUAUUUUCUGAGUAUGGAGUCCCGCCAAAAUGUGCUCAGAUUUUAAACUUUUCCGCCCGAACCUUACCCACCUUACGAUUCAUGAUGCCGAUAUGUAUGACAUGAAGGACUUUCUGGACAUGAACCACCUACCCAAACUGACCAAUUUGUCGAUACGCGGUGGCCGUAUUUCUCAACUAUUUAAAACUUGUGAUCGGCGUCACGCAGGGAUUAAAUCGCUCGAUAUUUUAUUUUUGGAUCUUGAGUCUGUCUGGAGUCUAGGUCUACCGCCCACGCGUCGUAAAAGUUCACAAGGCUGUCUUGCUUUUUCGGGAAUGAAAUUAUGCUGUUUGAUUGUUGAAUCGCCACAAUUUCGCUCUGAGACGAUGAAUUAAAGAAUUUUUGCUGACUUGACGGAGCCAACAUGACGGCGUCUGCUUCGCUAAAAAAUAUUUCGGAAACCCCGCAAAGGUCACUUUGUAGUGUCACAAAAAAAUCAUCAGGUGAGUUAUCCAUCAUUUAUCGUUAUUGUUCGAUCCGCUGACUCUGAUGAUUUAGCUGAUGCUCAGUGAAGGUCCCUUGAACUGGUUCAUUCGACAAGUCCGUGAGAGAGUAAAGCAAGACGGGCCGAGAAUCGUAGUUUAUAUAAGAAAUUUUGAAUAAUUCAUCUGUCCAAUUAGCAAGGUAUGAUUUGCUCCCGAGAUCAAUUUUUGUUUUACCAAUUCUAACUAGGUCACCAACUUUUAGUUUACUACUCGGAGGAUUCAUAUCAAUAAUUUUAUUGUACAUUCUGUCCCAAAUUUCACUUUCAUCUUUAAUAGUUACAUUUGCUGGUUGCUUACCGACACUAGAAUUGUAGCUAUGAUUUAAAGAAUAUACGACUGAAUUUAAAUGUUUAAGCCAAUUUUUUGAAUUGGUGUGAGACAUUAUAGCAUAUAGCCGUUUUUUAACAUGUUUUACAGCCAACUCUGAAUAAACUGCCUUCUUUUUACUGAAAGUAUAAUAAGUUUCAAUACCCACUGAUUUUAAAUAGUCUUGUGUUUUUUUGCUCAUCCAACCUGACUCUUGAUCGCCCCAGAUUUUUCCAGGUUUUCUGCCCUUUGCUUUCUUGAGAAGCUGCUUUAUCCCUUCAAUGAUUGCGUUGGAAUCUUUUUUCUUUAGAGGAAUUGCCCAGAUAAAUUUAGUAAACAAAUCUUGAACAAUCAAUAUAUAUUUGAAGAACGAAUUACUUCUAAAGUUUGGCAUUACUGCUAUAUCCCAGGUCCAAUAUUGGUCAAUGGAGUUAAACAUUACUUUACGUGUCGGAAAUUUUUUCCGAAUGCCCUUGUGUAUUGAAUAUGUUUUUAAAGAAUUGAGGACAUCUUGAACCACUGAUUUGUUUUUAUAUUUUGAAUUCUGUAGGAAAGCUGUCAGAGAAUUGUAGCCAGCCGGUGAUUUUGGAGAGAGAUAUGUUUUUAUAAUUUUUUUUCUGGUUUCUUCCAUUUAAAUUUGUCACUAAAAGAUACCCAAUUCUUGCACGAUUGAGACUUUAAUGGUUUGACCGGAUCCAACGUUCCACCAGCUCCAACGUUCUCUGGUUGAUCAUAUUUUACCAAUGAUAAUAAUUCACUUUCUUGCAACUUUUUAUAUGUAUCACUGGAUAUUAAAUAAAAAACUUUGGCCAUAUUAGGU